rnacentral:piRNA from 1 species
UGAUGAUGGAGCGGUGAAGCCAGUAUC